GGUCAGUGAUGAGCAGUAAAAGGUCUGAUUACCCAGAAUCCUCUCCUGCUGCCUCUGGCGCCCAGCAGCCCCUGCUCUGAGCUCCCGUCAUGCUCCAGUGCUGCAGUGAUGGUCCCGGCUGCUGACAGACAGACAGGAAGUGACAUCACAGCGAGUCUGCACAGAGACCCUGCAGACUCAGAGUGAUGAUGCUCCGACAGCCAAUCAGGAUGCAGCAGGAGGGGGAGGAGCUGAUCUCAAGUUUUCAACCUGAGACC